AGUGAACGCUGGCGGUAGGCCUAACACAUGCAAGUCGAACGGCAGCACAGUAAGAGCUUGCUCUUACGGGUGGCGAGUGGCGGACGGGUGAGGAAUACAUCGGAAUCUACUUUUUCGUGGGGGAUAGCGUAGGGAAACUUACGCUAAUACCGCAUACGACCUACGGGUGAAAGCAGGGGGUCUUCGGACCUUGCGCGAUUGAAUGAGCCGAUGUCGGAUUAGCUAGUUGGCGGGGUAAAGGCCCACCAAGGCGACGAUCCGUAGCUGGUCUGAGAGGAUGAUCAGCCACACUGGAACUGAGACACGGUCCAGACUCCUACGGGAGGCAGCAGUGGGGAAUAUUGGACAAUGGGCGCAAGCCUGAUCCAGCCAUACCGCGUGGGUGAAGAAGGCCUUCGGGUUGUAAAGCCCUUUUGUUGGGAAAGAAAAGCAGCAGGUUAAUACCCCGCUGUUCUGACGGUACCCAAAGAAUAAGCACCGGCUAACUUCGUG
rnacentral:rRNA from 1 species